AUCUCUCCUCAUGAUCUUCCACUACUAGUUCAGUUCAACCAGGCUAGCUACUAGCUAUCGAGCUUUGUUAAUUACUGCUUGCUAUGAGUAGUAUAUAGCUAGCAGCUAGGCGAAUGAUCUGCUGCAGGCAGAGCAGCAGAGUAAGAGUUCAUGGCUCGCAAGAUGAUCAGGGUGCUCCUCGUCGAGGACGAGGAGAUCAAUAGGGUCGUGGCGAGAGCGGCGCUGAAGGCGGCAGGCGGCGGCGACGUCGUGGACGAGGCGGAGAACGGGGAGGUGGCGGUGCAGCGGGUGCGGGACGCGGCGGCGCCGUACGACCUCGUGCUCAUGGACAAGCAGAUGCCGGUCAUGGACGGCCACGAGGCGACGAGGCGGAUCCGGGGCAUGGGGGUGACCACGCCGAUCGUCGCCGUGUCGAGCGACGGCCUCCCCGCCGACGUCGACGCGUUCAUCACCGCCGGCGCCGACGACUUCACGUCCAAGCCUCUGUCCAAGGAGAAGCUGGGAGUCAUCCUUGCCAAAUUUAGACUUGCUUAACGACGUAUAUAUAUGUGUACUGCUUAAUUAGUAUAUAUGCCUUGCUAGAUCAAGAUCUCCAAUAAACGGGAUUUAUGGAGUAUAUAUGAUGCUGCGUUUAGGAACAAAAUUUUAGGCGUGUAAUCUCCGAAAAAAAAAAGGGCAACGAUCAUAUGAACGGAUCGGAGAGGUUUUUUGCAAUGUGGCUUGGCAGAAUUGAUAGGAUUUAUUACUUAAACGAAGAUUUGCUAUGCAUAAUGCUCGUUCUCACGGCCUUGUGGAAUUGCAAAUACCUCUUCUUUUUAUUUCUUCCUUGCGUAUGCAUGUGAGAGAGUUUCACACCAUCUUGACUGUUUGUGCUUGACCUGUGAAGUCCAUGAUAGAUACUGGCAUUAGUUGAUUUUUCUAACUGUGAAGAAGUUACUGCA